UGGCGGCGAUAGCGCGGUGGUCCCACCUGACCCCAUGCCGAACUCAGAAGUGAAACGCCGUAGCGCCGAUGGUAGUGUGGGGCUUCCCCAUGUGAGAGUAGGGAACUGCCAGGUA
rnacentral:rRNA from 2 species